rnacentral:rRNA from 1 species
GACGACUCUCGACAACGGAUAUCUCGGCUCUCGCAUCGAUGAAGAACGUAGCGAAAUGCGAUACUUGGUGUGAAUUGCAGAAUCCCGUGAACCAUCGAGUCUUUGAACGCAAGUUGCGCUCGAGGCCAUUAGGCUGAGGGCACGUCUGCCUGGGUGUCACGU